UACGUAGGGUGCGAGCGUUGUCCGGAAUUAUUGGGCGUAAAGAGCUUGUAGGCGGUUUGUCGCGUCUGCUGUGAAAAUCCGGGGCUCAACCCCGGACUUGCAGUGGGUACGGGCAGACUAGAGUGUGGUAGGGGAGACUGGAAUUCCUGGUGUAGCGGUGAAAUGCGCAGAUAUCAGGGGGAACACCGAUGGCGAAGGCAGGUCUCUGGGCAGUAACUGACGCUGAGGAGCGAAAGCGUGGGGAGCGAACAGG
rnacentral:rRNA from 1 species